rnacentral:rRNA from 1 species
AACGAACGCUGGCGGCAUGCCUAACACAUGCAAGUCGAACGAGACCUUCGGGUCUAGUGGCGAAGGGGUGCGUAACGCGUGGGAACCUGCCCUUAGGUUGGGAAUAACUCCCGGAAAGGGGUGCUAAUACCGGAUAUUGUCUUCGGACCAAAGAUUUAUCGCCUUUGGAUGGGCCCGCGUUGGAUUAGCAAGUUGGUAGGGUAAAAGCCUACCAAGGCGACGAUCCAUAGCUGGUCUGAGAGGAUGAUCAGCCACACUGGGACUGAGACACGGCCCAGACUCCUACGGGAGGCAGCAGUGGGGAAUAUUGGACAAUGGGCGAAAGCCUGAUCCAGCAAUGCCGCGUGAGUGAUGAAGGCCUUAGGGUUGUAAAGCUCUUUUACCCGGGACGAUAAUGACAGUACCGGGAGAAUAAGCUCCGGCUAACUCCGUG